rnacentral:rRNA from 1 species
GACUACAGUCAUGCCACCCCACAUGCGCCUGAUCUCAACAGAUCUUGGAAGCUAAGCAGGGUCUGGCCAGGUUAGUACUCGGAUGGGAGCAGAGGCACAGAGGCCACAGCUGUGGACU